rfam:Salmo salar isolate Sally breed double haploid chromosome ssa15, whole genome shotgun sequence.
CUGGGCUACGGGGACAUGUACCCCAAGACGUGGCUGGGCAUGAUAGUGGGCGCGCUGUGCGCCCUGGCGGGGGUGCUGACCAUCGCCAUGCCCGUGCCUGUUAUAGUCAAUAAC